rnacentral:rRNA from 1 species
CCCUGCCGCAUGCCUAACACAUCCAAGUCGAACGGAGCCUUCGGGCUUAGUGGCGCACGGGUCCGUAACGCGUGGGAAUCUACCCUUGGGUUCGGAAUAACAGCGAGAAAUUGCUGCUAAUACCGGAUGAUGACGUAAGUCCAAAGAUUUAUCGCCCAAGGAUGAGCCCGCGUAGGAUUAGCUAGUUGGUGAGGUAGAGGCUCACCAAGCCGACGAUCCUUAGCUGGUCUGAGAGGAUGAUCACCCACACUGGGACUGAGACACGGCCCAGACUCCUACGGGAGGCAGCAGUGGGGAAUAUUGGACAAUGGGCGAAAGCCUGAUCCAGCAAUGCCGCGUGAGUGAUGAAGGCCUUAGGGU